GAUUAUGGCUCAGGACGAACGCUGGCGGCGUGCUUAACACAUGCAAGUUGAACGGUAUGACAUGGAAGCUUGCUGAAGUGUCAUAUAGUAGCGGACGGGUGAGUAAUGCAUGAGAAGCUGCCAUUGGGAGGGGGACAACAGUUGGAAACGGCUGCUAAUACCCCGUAUGCCGGAGGGUGAAAGGGAGUAAUCCGCCCGAUGAGGUGCUCAUGUCCUAUCAGCUGGUUGGUGGGGUAACGGCCUACCAAGGCGACGACGGGUAGCCGGCCUGAGAGGGUGAACGGCCACACUGGAACUGAGAUACGGUCCAGACUCCUACGGGAGGCAGCAGUGGGGAAUAUUGGGCAAAUGGGGGCAACCCUGACCCAGCGACGCCGCGUGGGGGAAGACGGCCUUCGGGUUGUAAACCUCUUUUGUACGGGAAGAAGGAAGUGACGGUACUGUACGAAUAAGUCCCGGCUAACUACGUGCCAGCCGCAGC
rnacentral:rRNA from 1 species